rnacentral:ncRNA from 12 species
GGCAGGCAAGCGCUAGGGGUAUCCCCGAGUUACCUUCGGGCAGCAGCUGUCGGUGAGACAGUGGUACAGGGGCCUAGGGGUCUGCCGCUCU